rnacentral:rRNA from 1 species
GAUGAACGCUGGCGGCGUGCUUAACACAUGCAAGUCGAACGGAAAGGCUCCUGCUUGCAGGGGUACUCGAGUGGCGAACGGGUGAGUAACACGUGGGUGAUCUGCCCUGCACUUCGGGAUAAGCCUGGGAAACUGGGUCUAAUACCGGAUAGGACGAUGGUUUGGAUGCCAUUGUGGAAAGUUUUUCGGUGUGGGAUGAGCUCGCGGCCUAUCAGCUUGUUGGUGGGUAAUGGCCUACCAAGGCGUCGACGGGUAGCCGGCCUGAGAGGGUGUACGGCCACAUUGGGACUGAGAUACGGCCCAGACUCCUACGGGAGGCAGCAGUGGGGAAUAUUGCACAAUGGGCGCAAGCCUGAUGCAGCGACGCCGCGUGGGGGAUGACGGCCUUCGGGUUGUAAACUCCUUUCGCUAGGGACGAAGCGCAAGUGACGGUACCUGGAGAAGAAGCACCGGCUAACUACGUG